UAGGGAAUCUUCGGCAAUGGGGGGAACCCUGACCGAGCAACGCCGCGUGAGUGAAGAAGGUUUUCGGAUCGUAAAGCUCUGUUGUUAAGGAAGAACGAGUGUGAGAAUGGAAAGUUCAUGCUGUGACGGUACUUAACCAGAAAGGGACGGCUAACUACGUGCCAGCAGCCGCGGUAAUACGUAGGUCCCGAGCGUUGUCCGGAUUUAUUGGGCGUAAAGCGAGCGCAGGCGGUCAAUUAAGUCUGAUGUGAAAGCCCCCGGCUCAACCGGGGAGGGUCAUUGGAAACUGGUUGACUUGAGUACAGAAGAGGAGAGUGGAAUUCCAUGUGUAGCGGUGAAAUGCGUAGAUAUAUGGAGGAACACCAGUGGCGAAGGCGACUCUCUGGUCUGUAACUGACGCUGAGGCUCGAAAGCGUGGGUAGCAAACAGG
rnacentral:rRNA from 1 species